AGAGUUUGAUCCUGGCUCAGGAUGAACGCUGGCGGCGUGCCUAAUACAUGCAAGUCGAGCGAACGGACGAGAAGCUUGCUUCUCUGAUGUUAGCGGCGGACGGGUGAGUAACACGUGGAUAACCUACCUAUAAGACUGGGAUAACUUCGGGAAACCGGAGCUAAUACCGGAUAAUAUUUUGAACCGCAUGGUUCAAAAGUGAAAGACGGUCUUGCUGUCACUUAUAGAUGGAUCCGCGCUGCAUUAGCUAGUUGGUAAGGUAACGGCUUACCAAGGCAACGAUGCAUAGCCGACCUGAGAGGGUGAUCGGCCACACUGGAACUGAGACACGGUCCAGACUCCUACGGGAGGCAGCAGUAGGGAAUCUUCCGCAAUGGGCGAAAGCCUGACGGAGCAACGCCGCGUGAGUGAUGAAGGUCUUCGGAUCGUAAAACUCUGUUAUUAGGGAAGAACAUAUGUGUAAGUAACUGUGCACAUCUUGACGGUACCUAAUCAGAAAGCCACGGCUAACUACGUGCCAGCAGCCGCGGUAAUACGUAGGUGGCAAGCGUUAUCCGGAAUUAUUGGGCGUAAAGCGCGCGUAGGCGGUUUUUUAAGUCUGAUGUGAAAGCCCACGGCUCAACCGUGGAGGGUCAUUGGAAACUGGAAAACUUGAGUGCAGAAGAGGAAAGUGGAAUUCCAUGUGUAGCGGUGAAAUGCGCAGAGAUAUGGAGGAACACCAGUGGCGAAGGCGACUUUCUGGUCUGUAACUGACGCUGAUGUGCGAAAGCGUGGGGAUCAAACAGGAUUAGAUACCCUGGUAGUCCACGCCGUAAACGAUGAGUGCUAAGUGUU
rnacentral:rRNA from 1 species